UCAGGUGGGACCCCAAAACCCACGUGGUGAGGUCCCAGAGGAGAAGGGACAGGAGCAGAUCCAAAACCCCAAAUCCCACCUCAAAAAUCCCAAAUUUACCCAACUUUUGGGACAAUCUGACCCUGCUGAGACCCCAAAACCCCCCAAAACCCCCCAAAAUUUCAGGUGGGACCCCAAAACCCACGUGGUGAGGUCCCAGA